AAAAACACGGGCAUUUCGGAGCAUUUAGAGCAGGCAGAGGAUGGAGUCCCCGGAGCUGGAGCUGCACCCACCGGGUUUCCUGCAGAAGUGGCCCAUUUGUUCAACAGUCCUGCACAGCUCCACGCGGCGUUUUCGAGCGAGCCUGGCACGGCGUGAGCAGAUCUAAGGCAGCCAUGGAGCGGAUUUAUUUCGCUUUAAUUUUACCUGCCCCUGAAGAGCAUAGGUUCCUGCAGGAACCUGGAGGAGCGUCCAGACUGGUCACGCUUGGCUGGGAAUUUAAGCUAUGCAAAGAUUAAAAACCAAAAAG